GAUGAACGCUGGCGGCGUGCCUAACACAUGCAAGUCGAGCGAUUUACUUCGGUAAAGAGCGGCGGACGGGUGAGUAACGCGUGGGUAACCUGCCCUGUACACACGGAUAACAUACCGAAAGGUAUGCUAAUACGAGAUAAUAUGCUUUUAUCGCAUGGUAGAAGUAUCAAAGCUCUGGCGGUACAGGAUGGACCCGCGUCUGAUUAGCUAGUUGGUAAGGUAACGGCUUACCAAGGCGACGAUCAGUAGCCGACCUGAGAGGGUGAUCGGCCACAUUGGAACUGAGACACGGUCCAAACUCCUACGGGAGGCAGCAGUGGGGAAUAUUGCACAAUGGGCGAAAGCCUGAUGCAGCAACGCCGCGUGAGCGAUGAAGGCCUUCGGGUCGUAAAGCUCUGUCCUCAAGGAAGAUAAUGACGGUACUUGAGGAGGAAGCCCCGGCUAACUACGUGCCAGCCGCCGCGGUAA
rnacentral:rRNA from 1 species